GACAGAGGGUGCAAACGUUGUUCGGAAUUACUGGGCGUAAAGCGCGUGUAGGCUGCUUGGCAAGUCGGAUGUGAAAGCCCUGGGCUCAACCUAGGAAGUGCAUUCGAAACUUCCAAGCUGGAGUGCUGGAGAGGAAGGCGGAAUUCUCGGUGUAGAGGUGAAAUUCGUAGAUAUCGAGAGGAACACCGGUGGCGAAGGCGGCCUUCUGGACAGUCACUGACGCUGAGACGCGAAAGCGUGGGGAGCAAACAGG
rnacentral:rRNA from 1 species